rnacentral:rRNA from 1 species
AUUGAACGCUGGCGGCAGGCCUAACACAUGCAAGUCGAACGGUAACAGGAAGCAGCUUGCUGCUUCGCUGACGAGUGGCGGACGGGUGAGUAAUGUCUGGGAAACUGCCUGAUGGAGGGGGAUAACUACUGGAAACGGUAGCUAAUACCGCAUAACGUCGCAAGACCAAAGAGGGGGACCUUAGGGCCUCUUGCCAUCGGAUGUGCCCAGAUGGGAUUGGCUAGUAGGUGGGGUAACGGCUCACCUAGGCGACGAUCCCUAGCUGGUCUGAGAGGAUGACCAGCCACACUGGAACUGAGACACGGUCCAGACUCCUACGGGAGGCAGCAGUGGGGAAUAUUGCACAAUGGGCGCAAGCCUGAUGCAGCCAUGCCGCGUGUAUGAAGAAGGCCUUCGGGUUGUAAAGUACUUUCAGCGGGGAGGAAGGGAGUAAAGUUAAUACCUUUGCUCAUUGACGUUACCCGCAGAAGAAGCACCGGCUAACUCCGUG